rnacentral:lncRNA from 1 species
GGAGUGGAGUGGUAUGAUCAUGGGUCUCUGCAGCCUUGACCUCUCAGGCUCAAGCAGUCUGCCCACCUCAGCUUCCUUAGUAGCUAUAUAUAUAUAGCGGUGACCAAAUAUCCUAAAAGACAUUGCACUUCAUCAUUCCAUGCCUUCAGACAUUUAAGGGCCAUGGAUGGUGAUCUCCUCCAGAGACAAAAUAAAUGCUGGUGCACAACAGGUGGCCACAGAGUGCAUCUGCUCUGGGGGACCCAUCGCUCAUAUACCCUCCCAGAAGAGCAGGAAAGGGGAUUCGUAAAUACGUUCUUCUGAUGGGGAAUGCUCUAUGAGGCCGCCUUCACAUGGUGAGUAGUGACCGUGACACCUCUGCAGCGUCCCUGGUCACUUGUAGCCCCUGAAAGGGUCAGCAGGAGCAGAUCACUUCUUUUCUUCAGGGCUGGAGAAAGUACCUCCGUGCAUUUUCCAGCCUCAGGGCCCGCCUGGCAGGACUACUGAGCAAGGCCUUGGAAAAUCGGAGCGAUUAGAGCGGUGAGUCGCGCUGGUCACACUGCACACCUGCGGGUUGGGAGAUUCUGGAGCCAGAAGGAGAGCCAAAUGGCCUUCGCCCACCCUGCCCCUCGUCCGCUUCAGAAAUCCCCGGAAACGCCCCGGUCCGCGAUCCGGGCCGAGCAGCCAGGGGGCCCAAGGGAAGCUGAACGCCGGGUGAGCUACCCGGAUGGCUCUUCCGGUUCUUUGUGCGGCCUUCACCCAGUGAGGGAGCCUGUGCCCCCCUGCCCAGUCGCUUUCGGGGCGCUGAGGAGCUUCCGCUGCCAUCUUCGGAUGCCGUGUCC